rnacentral:misc_RNA from 1 species
AGAGCUUGGCAACCUCGCGCACGGAGGCUUCCUUAGCUUCGACGCCGAGAUCCUCCGCCAUCAUUUUCGCAGAAGAAUUAGAGAAUAAUGUGAUAAUGUUAAUUGCUCUUUAGAAGGAACUUCUAAUUAGAAAUGAAAAUGCAAAAUUCAGUGCAAAAUUAUUUGUACGGAAACAAUACGUAGCUUGAAUUUGAGAAGCGUAACGAUCGGGCCGGUUCGAUUCGAAUGUAGA